GGUGUGUCGGGUGUGCCUGGGCACACCCUAAUCCCUGCGGUACGCCAAUGGAUUGAGCGGCGGCUCUGGUCUAAGCCUCCAUUGGCCGGUGGGGAGAUCAAAGUUCUACCUCACCGGUCCACAGCAGCAUGGAGGGAGGCAGCAGAGAACCCGGGCUAGAGUUCACUCUAAACUGAACCACCAGGGAAGGCAGCAGGACUGGGAUAUUAACUAAUCUGCCCCCACCUCCACCAAAC